AGUUGGAGCUGAGUGGGACUUCACAGGAGCCAUGGAUCUGCUCAAGCUGAACCGCAGCUUGCAGGGACCAGGACCCGGGUCAGGGUCUUCUUUGUGCCGCCCGGGUGUCUCCCUCCUCAACAGCAGUAGCGCCGGCAACCUCAGCUGCGAGACCCCUCGUAUCCGCGGAACCGGGACCAGAGAAUUGGAGUUGACCAUUCGAAUCACCCUUUAUGCGGUGAUCUUUCUGAUGAGUGUUGGCGGAAACGUGCUCAUCAUUGUGGUCCUGGGACUGAGCCGACGCCUAAGAACGGUCACCAACGCCUUCCUACUCUCCCUGGCAGUCAGCGACCUCCUGCUGGCUGUCGCUUGCAUGCCCUUCACACUCCUGCCCAACCUCAUGGGCACAUUCAUCUUCGGCACAGUCAUCUGCAAGGCCGUUUCCUACCUCAUGGGUAGGGGUAUCAGUGAGUGUGUCCACUCUAAAUCUCGCGGCCAUCGCCCUGGAGCGAUACAGCGCCAUCUGCCGACCACUGCAAGCACGAGUGUGGCAGACACGCUCCCACGCAGCUCGGGUGAUCUUAGCCACGUGGCUGCUGUCUGGAUUGCUUAUGGUCCCCUACCCCGUGUACACCGUGGUGCAGCCAGUGGGGCCUCGAAUACUGCAGUGCAUGCAUCUCUGGCCCAGUGAACGUGUCCAACAAAUGUGGUCCGUGCUUCUGCUAAUACUGCUGUUCUUCAUCCCGGGCGUGGUUAUGGCGGUGGCCUAUGGACUCAUCUCCCGCGAACUCUACCUAGGGCUCCGCUUUGAUGGUGAUAAUGACAGCGAGACCCAAAGCCGGGUCCGAAACCAAGGGGGUCUGCCGGGUGGGGCAGCAGCACCAGGGCCUGUCCACCAGAACGGGGGUUGCCGGCAUGUGACCAGCCUGACUGGGGAAGACAGUGAUGGCUGCUACGUGCAACUUCCGCGUUCCCGACUGGAGAUGACAACGCUGACCACGCCCACUACUGGGCCAGGCCCUGGCCCUCGGCCCAACCAGGCCAAGCUGCUGGCUAAGAAGCGGGUGGUGCGAAUGCUGCUGGUGAUUGUUUUGCUUUUUUUCGUGUGUUGGCUGCCAGUGUACAGCGCCAACACGUGGCGUGCCUUCGAUGGCCCAGGCGCGCGCCGAGCACUCGCAGGGGCCCCUAUCUCUUUCAUCCACUUGCUGAGCUACACCUCUGCUUGUGCCAACCCCCUGGUCUACUGUUUCAUGCACCGCCGAUUCCGCCAGGCCUGCCUGGACACAUGUGCCCGCUGUUGCCCACGCCCUCCACGAGCUCGCCCACGGCCUCUUCCGGAUGAGGAUCCUCCUACCCCCUCCAUCGCUUCUCUGUCCAGGCUAAGCUAUACCACCAUCAGCACGCUGGGACCUGGCUGAGGGAUUGGGAGAGUGGAGAGUGAGAUGAGAUACAUAACUACUAUAAAAUGACCCAUCCAAACACAUAACAAAAUCCGGGAUUAAUUCAGGUGGUACCCAACAUCAUGGACAGACCCCUACACACAGAAAGCAGUAUCUUUGCUGCCCCACCUGAAACAGACAGGAGUCUUACAUAGGAAAAGAGGCUCACUUCUGAUAUGGGACUGAGUCCUUCCCUAGACAUCUGGCACUGACCCCAUUACAUAGACAGACAUACGGUCCAUAGCAGUAAACUUUCCCUAUACAAGGGGAACUCUGACAAGGGCUGAUUGGCUUCUCACAUGAGUACACUAAUGGCACUAUUCUAUAGUGCCCAUAGCCUAGUGCGGUAGUGACUUAGGACAUUGCAGCUGUCCCCAGUUUGACCUCAUCAUUGCCUUCCUUAUCCAGCACUGAAAUUAUCAACAGGCCUAAAAUCACAUGCCUUUCGGAGCCGCAGAUCUCUUAGCACUGAAAAAGUCCCGUCAUCCCUUUCCAUUAGGGACUGUGGAAAAUCCUCUUCCCUCCUGCCUCUCCCCCCUCACCAGACCACAUCAUAAAAGUAUAAGUGACUUAGCGUCCUCCUGGACUUCCUGGGCUUUGGUGGGCAGGUGAGCAGGUGUGGUUUAUGGGAAACAUCUUUAUCUGUUUGCUCCCAUGACUAUUCAACCCCAUGUCCGACCUUGUGCAAAAAGAGAUGAGCGUAUCCUCCCUUGAUUGUCAUCUGGGACCUAACCCUACUCCGGUGAUGUAGUAGCUGGGACACACUGUGGCAGGUGGGAUAUCCAUGACACUUCAUGACUCCUGAGUACACCCUCUCAUUUGGUGCCAUCGUUAAAGUACUAUACUAAUGGCUUCCUGUUAAUUUUUUGAUGAAAAGAUAAAAAGAUGAAAGACUA